rnacentral:rRNA from 1 species
AUUGCCCUAGUAACGGCGAGUGAAGCGGCAACAGCUCAAAUUUGAAAUCUGGCCCUAGCGGUCCGAGUUGUAAUUUGUAGAGGAUGCUUUUGGUGAGGUGCCUUCCGAGUUCCCUGGAACGGGACGCCGGAGAGGGUGAGAGCCCCGUACGGUUGGACGCCAAACCUCUGUAUAGCUCCUUCGACGAGUCGAGUAGUUUGGGAAUGCUGCUCUAAAUGGGAGGUAAAUUUCUUCUAAAGCUAAAUACCGGCCAGAGACCGAUAGCGCACAAGUAGAGUGAUCGAAAGAUGAAAAGCACUUUGAAAAGAGGGUUAAAUAGCACGUGAAAUUGUUGAAAGGGAAGCGUUUGCGACCAGACCUUUUCCAGGCGGAUCAUCCGGCGUUCUCGCCGGUGCACUCCGCCUGGUUGAGGCCAGCAUCGGUUUCCUUAGGGGGAUAAAGGCCUGGGGAACGUAGCUCCUUCGGGAGUGUUAUAGCCCCUGGCGCAAUACCCCUCGGGGGACCGAGGACCGCGCUUCGGCAAGGAUGCUGGCGUAAUGGUCGUCAACGACCCGUCUUGAAACACGGACCAAGGAGUCGAACAUUUGUGCGAGUGUUUGGGUGUCAAACCCUCACGCGUAAUGAAAGUGAACGGAGGUGAGAGCCCUUACGGGUGCAUCAUCGACCGAUCCUGAUGUCUUCGGAUGGAUUUGAGUAAGAGCAUAACUGUUCGGACCCGAAAGAUGGUGAACUAUGCGUGGAUAGGGUGAAGCCAGAGGAAACUCUGGUGGAGGCUCGCAGCGGUUCUGACGUGCAAAUCGAUCGUCAAAUCUGCGCAUGGGGGCGAAAGACUUAUCGAACCAUCUAGUAGCUGGUUACCGCCGAAGUUUCCCUCAGGAUAGCAGUGUUGUCUUCAGUUUUAUGAGGUAAAGCGAAUGAUUAGGGACUCGGGGGCGCUAUAUUGCCUUCAUCCAUUCUCAAACUUUAAAUAUGUAAGAAGCCCUUGUUACUUAGUUGAACGUGGGCAUUCGAAUGUACCAACACUAGUGGGCCAUUUUUGGUAAGCAGAACUGGCGAUGCGGGAUGAACCGAACGCGGGGUUAAGGUGCCAGAGUGGACGCUCAUCAGACACCACAAAAGGUGUUAGUACAUCUUGACAGCAGGACGGUGGCCAUGGAAGUCGGAAUCCGCUAAGGACUGUGUAACAACUCACCUGCCGAAUGUACUAGCCCUGAAAAUGGAUGGCGCUCAAGCGUCUCACCCAUACCUCGCCCUUAGGGUAGAAACGAUGCCCUAAGGAGUAGGCGGC